UUAAGUAGGACUAUAAUCCUACGUUUGGUAGGUUGUGGGACUAAAAUAAAUGGGACUCGCCUCGACUACGAGUCCCUGCGAGGCAUGCUAGCCGGUCUUCACGAGUCCCCCCAAAAACCACGGGAUUAGCUAGGAACUUCGCUUCGUUCUGCUUGAUUCACCUCAUCGACCUCGAUUUCGACGGCAUCUCUCUUCGUCCUGCUUGAUUCACCUCCCUGCGAGCCCUUCUGUGAGUUCUGGGCUUCUUCCUCCUCCUUGCGAGGGUUCUUCCACCACCAACAUCAACCACACAAAAUCCCCCAUCUCAUAUUUCCCACCACCAACCAUCACCCACAAAAAAUCCCCAAUCCCAUAUUUCCUGCCGCCACCAUCGCCAUGGACGAGCCAUCCGAGAAGCUCCAGAACCUCAAGUCGCUGAAUUCUCUGCCAGCAGCAGGUGGAGUCGCUGGUGCAGGGCAAGGCAGAUUUGGAGUCCGAGGAAGAUUUGGGUGGACAAAAAAAA